UAUGAUUAACAAGAGCUAGUUCCUGCUGUUAUACUUGCUAUUAGAUAUGUGUGUAGAUUUGAUCUUGUCAAUAUCUUGCGUAUUUUUUGUAUUCUUAAUUUGAUUUAACUUGGCUGUAACCAAAUUGCCCCAUGAUAACAAUAGAAAAAUCUUGAUUGGUUGAUUGGUCUGGUGAAAAACAACACGUGCAAAAGUUUGUUUGCUAUCUGUUGGAAGAACAUAGGCUACAUGGCUGCCUUGACUGAAGCGCGAUCAAGUUCUAGGUUUGUGUGUUUUUUUUUUAACGCAACUAGUUGUUUUGUUUACUUCAACUCUUAUAGCCCUGUAUGCUGUGCGAAUCCAAGCUAUUAGAAACCCAAAUACAAUGAGUAAUCUGUUUACGCUUCUAAGAAGAAUUAUGUACUGCAACAGCGGCAGGGGAUUCCUGAAAGUCAUUAUUGCCGGAAGGAGGGAGAAUUCCACGUCCUCCAAACGGAGCUGGAGAAGAAUUCCUGUUGUGAGGACCUUUGACCUCAAAAUGGCUGCCACCGGCACAGACAGAACAAUGGAACGUCCCCAGGAACGUCCACCACUGGGUGCACCUGAUGAACGCACAAAGCUCACCUGUAUCCUUUUUCAUCGUGGUUUCUGGAAAAGGACUGGGAUCGUGCCCUUGCCGACAUAACGAACACAUGGAGGAAAAUGAUUUUAAAAAGCUGCAUAAUCACUUUGAGAGCUACCCAGUACCCUACCUUUAAGAUGUCUGACGUGACACAACUGAGAACAGUGAGCAAUGUGGAGAAAGGAUAACUACUUUGCUUCAAAGAAGAAAAAAAACAGAUUGCUUGUACAUUAUUUAAUCAAUCAAGACUCGUUUUCGUCUUAAGAUAAAAAGAAGAUUUGACGAAGAGCUGAAAACUCUAAGGAAUGGCCUCCGCAUCAAGGAAAAGGAGACGCCGCAGUAAUGGAAAAACUCAUUACUGCCACGUGCCUUUAGUGAUUUCUGCUCAUGCUUCCAGUGCUAGAUUGAAAUACUCUCUCAUGGAGAAAUUUAUUUUACAAUAUUAUACAAAAAUGAAUAUAUUUUCAUUAUCUAAAUAUAGGAGUAUUUGGAAAUAUACGAUGUUGUAUUACAAAUACAUGCAUAUAUUGCAAUGUAUAUUUUUGACAGUAUAUGAAGGUGUGAAUACAUACAUAUUUUAAACAUUAUUUCGUCAUUUAAUAGAAUGUAUGUUGUCCUGUGUUUUGUACCUUUUAAAUAUGUUAAAAUGCUCUUAUAUUUUUGUUAACACGUGUAUAUUCCAUGGGUCCCUUGAAAAAGAUAUCUUUAUCUCAAUGGGACUCAUCUUAAUAAAGGCUAUAUAAUAAUAUUGUAUUGUGAGUAAUAAUAAGAAUAAUAAUGAUAACAUAUAUAUGUAUAAAGGAGGUUUCUAACAAACCGUUGUAGUUUCUUCUGCUGUGUUCCUGUAUAACUGCACAAAUAAAUAGCAUCCAGCAAUGACACCAUCUGAUGUUUUUUAGAUCAAGAUGAAUGUCUUUGAGCCGAUAGUGUGACAUGGAUGAUUUUUUUGGUUUCUUGAAUGCGUUGGGGUGCACGGGACCUAAAAUAAUGACGCCUGCUUCCAGGCGUCCCAGGGGAGACGACGAGCAUGUGAUUUCAAAAG